rnacentral:lncRNA from 1 species
CCCGGACCCACCUCCCCUGCAGCCAUCCCGCACUCUUGAGGGGCCGGGCCCUGGCUGAGCGCUGUUCCUAGGCCCUGGAUGGCGGUGUGGAUCUCCGUCCUUGUCAGGGUAAUUUCCUCUUCUGUUUCCAGCAUUUCGAGUAAAUUCCUUUCUAAUCAUUAGGUGCCCUAGAGAGGACAGAUGCAUGGCUGUGGAGUCUUGUUCUGUGAUAUGUCAGUUUACUUGACGCACGUUCAAAACUGCAAAAUGCUGGUUCCUACCCGUCUCUGAUGUCACCAAAGGCUGCCCAGAGGCCUGCAGCACAUUGACGAUGGUCUUAGUAUUACACAGCUGUCUGACCAGUACCACAAAUCCAGAGUCCAAGCAGCUCAGGUUUGCCUUCUCCCUGUCUGUGUGGGUCCAGCGCCCUGGGCUCAGCAGGGCCUCCUGCUCCUGCUCCUGUAGGGUGGGCUGGGCCUUCCCACACGGGCCUGGGGAGGAGCCUCUCCUAGGUGCUGGCAGGGCCCUGGCCUUUACUUAUUCCCUCUGAUGCCAGCCAGCUACUGCAGCCCUGGUGGCGUCUCCCUGGGGGUGCCCGGGUGCAGGUGUCCGCUGCCGGGCCGUGGGUGUCUCAUUCUGUGUCCGGACCUCUCUGUGAUGUGAACCUUGGGCUUUUUUUUUUUUUUUUUUUUUUUUUCAGAUGUUAAGGGAGUCCACCACAUGUUUCCAUGUUUUACUGUUCCUGGAACUGAAUUUGUUUGUGAUGUGAGUCAGAAAUCCUGUCACAUUUUUCCACGUGGAUAUCCAGGGCCCCCGCCGUUUGUGGGAAGGCCGCACCUUCUGCCCGCUCUGCUGUCCAUCCGCGUGCCCAUCUCCAUGGGUUUCUCUCUGCACGGCUUGUUCUGUCCUGCAUGUCCAUCCUUGAGAUCGUUUUUCUCUGGCUUAAUGAUUACAGCUGUACGUUUCAUUUUCAUGGCUGGGAUCUGCAGGACGAGCUUACAUAUAGCAUAAAAUUGGAUGUUCCUUUGAAACAACAGCAGUCAGAAGUCCAUGAGGAGGUGUCUUCUGACUGCGAGGAUAAGGGUGGAUCACCUUAAUGCAAUCAGGGAAUGAUGUGUUAGAAGCAUCUAUAGUUCCUGCUUCCCCUAAUUUCUAGCUGUAGCCAUUUGAAGAUUCUAAGCAAGUCCUCAACUGUUCAGCAGAGCCUCUGGUCCAGCAUGAGACCAAAACCCAGGCUCCCAGUUUCUCCGCCUGUGCUGAGACCUUGUUUCCCAGGACCUCGGUGGACUUGGCUUUCAUGACUGGUGCCUCACCCCAGCACAUGUGCCUAAAAUAACAGAAAAAUACAGUGCCUGCAUGUUGGGAGCAAGCCCCCCAAAGUCUGGCCCCAAAACUGGCCAUAAAUAAAAUCUCUGCAGCAAUGUAACAUGUCCAUAAUGGCCAUAAAGCCCAAGCUGGAAGGUUGUGGGUUUACAGGAAUGACGGUAAGGAACACCUGGCCCGCUCAGGGCGGAAAACUGGUUAAAGGCAUUUUUAAGCCAUAAACAAUUAGCCUGAGCGAUCUGUGCCUUAAGGGCGUGUUCCUGCUGCAAUUAAUUCAGCCCAUCCCUUCGUUUCCCUUAAGGGAUACUUUCAGUUAAUUUAAUAUCCAUAGAAACAAUGCUAAUGACUGGUUUGCUGUUAAUAAAUAUGUGGGUAAAUCUCUGUUCGGGGCUCUCAGCUCUGAAGGCUGUGAGACCCCUGAUAUCCCACUUUACACCUCUGUAU